rnacentral:rRNA from 1 species
CCUACGGGGCGCAGCAGUGGGGAAUAUUGGGCAAUGGGCGCAAGCCUGACCCAGCAACGCCGCGUGAAGGAAGAAGGCUUUCGGGUUGUAAACUUCUUUUCUCAGGGACGAAGCAAGUGACGGUACCUGAGGAAUAAGCCACGACUAACUACGUGCCAGCAGCCGCGGUAAUACGUAGGUGGCAAGCGUUAUCCGGAUUUACUGGGUGUAAAGGGCGUGUAGGCGGGACUGCAAGUCAGACGUGAAAACCAAGGGCUCAACCUUUGGCCUGCAUUUGAAACUGUAGUUCUUGAGUACUGGAGAGGCAGACGGAAUUCCGAGUGUAGCGGUGAAAUGCGUAGAUAUUAGGAGGAACACCAGUUGCGAAGGCGGUCUGCUGGACAGUAACUGACGCUGAGGCGCGAAAGCGUGGGGAGCAAACAGGAUUAGAUACCCGAGUAGUC